rnacentral:rRNA from 1 species
UACGAAGGGGGCUAGCGUUGCUCGGAAUCACUGGGCGUAAAGGGUGCGUAGGCGGGUCUUUUAAGUCAGGGGUGAAAUCCUGGAGCUCAACUCCAGAACUGCCUUUGAUACUGAGGAUCUUGAGUUCGGGAGAGGUGAGUGGAACUGCGAGUGUAGAGGUGAAAUUCGUAGAUAUUCGCAAGAACACCAGUGGCGAAGGCGGCUCACUGGCCCGAUACUGACGCUGAGGUGCGAAAAGCGUGGGGAGCAAACAGG